rnacentral:sRNA from 1 species
CCGAGGUACACGACGACCCGCAUGACAGAGGCGGGGGACCCACUUCUGGGCAUCUUCGGAUGUCCUUGGGGUGAAGCCAGAAGGGCCUCGGCCCGGACGGCCGGAUGUGACUCCCAUCCGAACCCGACAGCUGACCCCGUAGGCGACCAAGGAGAGGCCAC